UGGGGAAUUUUGGACAAUGGGGGCAACCCUGAUCCAGCAAUGCCGCGUGUGUGAAGAAGGCCUUCGGGUUGUAAAGCACUUUUGUCCGGAAAGAAAACUUCGGGGCUAAUACCCCUGGAGGAUGACGGUACCGGAAGAAUAAGCACCGGCUAACUACGUGCCAGCAGCCGCGGUAAUACGUAGGGUGCGAGCGUUAAUCGGAAUUACUGGGCGUAAAGCGUGCGCAGGCGGUGCUGUAAGACCGAUGUGAAAUCCCCGGGCUUAACCUGGGAACUGCAUUGGUGACUGCAGCGCUGGAGUAUGGCAGAGGGGGGUGGAAUUCCACGUGUAGCAGUGAAAUGCGUAGAGAUGUGGAGGAACACCGAUGGCGAAGGCAGCCCCCUGGGCCAAUACUGACGCUAAUGCACGAAAGCGUGGGGAGCAAACAGG
rnacentral:rRNA from 1 species